GAUGAACGCUGGCGGCGUGCCUAAUACAUGCAAGUCGAGCGAACAGACGAGGAGUUUGCUCCUUUGACGUUAGCGGCGGACGGGUGAGUAACACGUGGGUAACCUACCUAUAAGACUGGGAUAACUUCGGGAAACCGGAGCUAAUACCGGAUAAUAUUUCGAACCGCAUGGUUCGAUAGUGAAAGAUGGCUUUGCUUUCACUUAUAGAUGGACCUGCGCCGUAUUAGCUAGUUGGUAAGGUAACGGCUUACCAAGGCAACGAUACGUAGCCGACCUGAGAGGGUGAUCGGCCACACUGGAACUGAGACACGGUCCAGACUCCUACGGGAGGCAGCAGUAGGGAAUCUUCCGCAAUGGGCGAAAGCCUGACGGAGCAACGCCGCGUGAGUGAUGAAGGUCUUCGGAUCGUAAAACUCUGUUAUUAGGGAAGAACAAACGUGUAAGUAACUGUGCACGUCUUGACGGUACCUAAUCAGAAAGCCACGGCUAACUACGUG
rnacentral:rRNA from 1 species